CCAAGCCCCACCUCGCCGCCGCCUCCCGAGCGAGCUCCCAAGACGGACCCCGUGCACCAGGCGACGCCCACCUCGGCCCUGGGAUCACUGACGAGCCGGGUCCUCCCGCUUUCCUAGAACGGCUCCCGGGAUGCACUUCCGCCCCGCGAGCGGCCGCUCUGCGCGCUGGUGUCGCUCCCCACGCCUGUCUCCGGGCUGCGCGGGACAGAAGCUGGCCGAACGGAGAACUCUCACUUGAGUUCAUCAUUGGAGUUAGGCGCUGGACUCCAGUGCCCAGGGCUUCGGCCACUCUCCACACCGAUAUCCCGAACGACCUUGCCUGGGAGGUGUUAACCCUGACGCAGCCAUAAUGUCUGUUUUCCUUGGCCAGGCUAAAGUGGCCGUCAAGAAACAGUAUCUUAACACAGAAGUCUGAAACUCAUGGGAGGAAUUUUAGGCACAGGAUGAAGGUGAUGAAAACUGCCAAUGUUGCCAGCUGACUUCUCAGUGCCCUACAACUGAGUACUUACCUGAACCCAACCCUUUUGUAGGAUGGAUGAGGGCCAUUGGCUAACACUGGAGUCCACAUUUUUUACAUAACACUUGCAGGUCAAUAAACCAAAAGGUAACAACCAGAUGGCUGGCUCGUGAAAUGGUUGAUCUUAAUGAUGUGGCAUAUUGGAAAGCUUUUUAUGGGGGGGGGGUCCUCAA